UGAACGAGCACUUAGAUUCCUACAAAUACACAGAUCAAAAAGACAUCGUUCACUCAAUCCACAUCUCUAUUAUUGAUUUCUUGAGGGAAAUUGAAAAAUGGAAUAUAAAAAGAAAUAGUGGAUAUUGACCUAACUAAAUGUUUGAAGAAAAGACUGCAUGAGUAAAUGUCAAUAGUUUAUUUUGUAACCAAACCUGAAAGAUACAACUCUAAAGGCAUGAUCCAUGAAAGAAAACAUUGAUAAGCUUGACUUCACUAAAAUUAAAAAUUUCUGCACUGUGAGAGACACUGCUAAGAGAGUGAAAAGACAAGACACAGACUUGGAGAAGAUAUCUGCAAAAGACAUAUCUGAUCAAGUAUUGUUGUCCAAAAUAUACAAUGAAUUCUUAAAACUCAACAAUAAGAAAACAAUCUGAUUAAAAAAUUGGGCCAAAGACUUUAACUAAUACCUCACCAAAGAAGAUACACAGAGGACAAAUAAGCAUAUGAAAAGAUGCUCCAUAUCAUAUGUCAUCAAGGAAAUGCAAAUUAAAACAACCUAUUAGAAAGGCCAAAAUCUGGAACACUGACAACAUCAAAUGCUGGUGAGGAUAUGGAGCAACAGGAACUUUUCUUCAUUGGUGGUGGGAAUGCACAUUAGUACAGUCAUUUUGGAAGACAGUUUGGUGGUUUCUUACAAAACUAAACAUUCUUUUACCAUACAAUCCAGCAAGUGCACCCCUUGAUAUCUCCCCAAAGGUUAAAAACUCACUUCCAUACAACAAUCUGCACAUGGAUAUUUAUAGCAGCUUUAUACCUAAUUGCCAAAACUGGAAACAUCCAAGAUGCCCUUCAAUAGGUGAAAGGAUAAAUAAACUGUGGUACAUCUAGACAAUAGAAUAUUAUUCAUCACUAUAAAACAAUGAUUUAUUAAGCCAUGAGGAGACAUGCAGGAAUCUUAAACACAAUUGCUAAGUGAAAGAAGUCAAUUUGAAAAGGUUCCAAACUGUAUGAUUUCAAUAUAUGAUAUUCUAGAAAAGACAAAACUAUGAGUACAGUAAAAAGAUCAGUGGUUGCCAGGAGUUGGGGGAAGGAGGGAUGAGUAGCCAGAGCACAAAGGAGUUUUAGGGCAAUGAAACUAUUCUGUAUGGUACAAUAAUGGUGAAUAUAUGUCACACAUUUGUUUAGACCCAGAGAAUGUACAGCACAAGUGAACUCUAAGAUAAACUAUGGACUUUGAGUGAUAAUGAUAUGUCAAUGUGUAUUCAUCAAUUAUAACAAAUGUACCACUCUGGUGAGGGAUGUUGAUACUGGAGGGGGCUAUGCCGUGUGGGGGCAGAGAGUAUAUGGAAAAUCUCUUUAACUUCUGUUCAAAUUUGCUGUGAACCUAAACCUGU
rnacentral:lncRNA from 1 species